rnacentral:rRNA from 1 species
AUUGAACGCUGGCGGCAUGCCUUACACAUGCAAGUCGAACGGCAGCACGGGAGCAAUCCUGGUGGCGAGUGGCGAACGGGUGAGUAAAGUAUCGGAACGUGCCCAGUCGUGGGGGAUAACGUAGCGAAAGUUGCGCUAAUACCGCAUACGAUCUAUGGAUGAAAGCGGGGGAUCGCAAGACCUCGCGCGAUUGGAGCGGCCGAUAUCAGAUUAGGUAGUUGGUGGGGUAAAGGCUCACCAAGCCGACGAUCUGUAGCUGGUCUGAGAGGACAACCAGCCACACUGGGACUGGGACACGUCCCAGACUCCUACGGGAGGCAGCAGUGGGGAAUUUUGGACAAUGGGCGCAAGCCUGAUUCAGCCAUGCCGCGUGCAGGAUGAAGGCCUUCGGGUUGUAAACUGCUUUUGUACGGAACGAAAAGGUUUGGCUUAUUACGUUGAACUCAUAACGGUACCGUAAGAAUAAGCACCGGCUAACUACGUGCCAGCAGCCGCCGUAA